GCGCCCGUAGCUCAGCUGGAUAGAGCGACUGACUACGAAUCAGUAGGUCGGCGGUUCGAGCCCGUCCGGGCGCA
rnacentral:tRNA from 1 species